rnacentral:rRNA from 1 species
UACGUAGGGGGCGAGCGUUGUCCGGAUUCAUUGGGCGUAAAGAGCUCGUAGGCGGCUUGGCAAGUCGGAUGUGAAAACUCCAGGCUCAACCUGGAGCCGCCAUUCGAUACUGCUAUGGCUAGAGUCCGGUAGGGGAGUGUGGAAUUCCCGGCGUAGUGGUGAAAUGCGUAGAUAUCGGGAGGAACACCAGUGGCGAAGGCGACUUCCUGGCCUGUUCUUGACGCUGAGGCGCGAAAGCUAGGGGAGCAAACGGG